rnacentral:other from 1 species
AUUUCCCUGCGGUGCGCGCGCAAAGGCUGUUAUGUUCCUUGAACCAAUGCGCUUUGCGCUCGGUCACCGGGCUCGCGUCGCGGUGCGAUCGGCACGCGUUUGCUGAACCUAAACGGCGCGGACGGCGACCACCCUGGACCCUCGGUUCAGGAUGAGCAGCCGGGCGGCACGCGCGGGGCCCUC